GUAGACACUAGCACUUUGCCAAUGGGUGUUGACAGUGUCGAGUGUUGACAGGCGGGCUUCUGAUCUGCUGUACCAAACACUGUCAUUCCAUGUCACAAUGCCAGUAAUUGUCCCAUGUACAUAUCUUACUCACAGGGAUUGUAUCACUGUUAGCCCUGAGUCUGAUUUGCUGACCCUCAAUCUUGACCAGAGGCCCAUAACCCAUCAAUCAUUCUGAUCACCUAUUGAUGGCAGUGUAUGAACACACUUGUGCUGAGGGAAUGAGGAAUACAAAUGUACACUUUCCAUCUUAUGAUGUGGUACAGAGCCUAACAUUUGAAUGUUGUAAUAAUCCAAUUCUAAACAUAUUCAUUAAUUCAAUAUUGCAGAAAAUUCUGAUUAUCCAAUUUAUGUAAGGGAAAAAGCUGAUAAAUUUAUUAAUUGUUAUGCUUAAAUUUUAUUUUUUUCUCCUUCCUGAAUGGAAAUUUUAAAAAAAAUCAACCUUGUUAAACUGAAUUUGCAUCUAUAUAAUGUUGAAUGAAAAAAAAAUGUUGCUUCUGGGUUAAUAAAAAAUAUUAGAGUGUU